rnacentral:snRNA from 1 species
ACAUUUCUCCGGCAGGAGAGAUACAACUAUCACAAAGGUAGUAUUCUGAGGGGAAGAUUUAUCCUUUGCACUCUGGCUAUGCUGACCCCUGCAAGUUCCCAAAUGUGGGAAACUCAACCACAUAAUUUGUCAUAGUGAAGGACUGUGUUCCCUCUCUCCA